UGCACUCCGCCUAAACCAGCAUUUUUUUCGGAAUAAAACACUCGUUGUUAGGAUUUGAACGUAGUAGUUAUGUUCAUUUAAUCUACUUGUAACUAAACUAGCACAUGAUACUAGGGAUGCACCGAUCCGAUACUCUGGAUCGGAUUUGGCUCCGAUCCAUACCUUUUUGAAAGGAUCGGGUAUCGAUCAUGCGCGAGUCAGCACGACCGAUCCAAAUCCGAUACCAAAUUACCAGCGAUUGUUGAACGGGGAACUGUAUUUAAGUAAAUAGAAAACAUUCGUUUAUUUGGGGAAAAAUGCAUAUAAUUAAAUACUUAGAAAUAUAUUUUGCAUAAUCGUCUGACAGGCAAGUUUAGCGGGUAGACCUUUCAGGACCCAACGUUAUGCCUAUAUGGUAAUUUACUUCAGUGCGUUAAAGAUGUCGCAGAUUUGGAAAUAUUUCACGCUUGAAACAACAGAAAGCAGCACAGCAAAUUGUAACAUUUGCAAAACCAGUGUUUCAAGAGGUGGAAGUACUGUUGCGCGUUACAAUACAACAAAUUUAAUCAAACAUCUUCAGAAGCAUCACGGAAAAGAUCAUGAAGAGUUUGCACAAGCGAAACGCAAAAAGGACGAAUCAAAGCAGCAGACCUUGCAGGAAGCGUUUCAAAGGCAAGAAAAACUUCAUAAAGACAACAAAAAAUCUGUUAAAAUCACAGAAAAAGUUGUGGAAUUUAUUGUUCUAGAUAAUCAGCCUCACUCUGUUGUGGAAAAUGUAGGCUUCCGUCGCCUAAUGGAACAUCUAGAACCGCGAUACAGUUUAGCAUCGCGUAAAUACAUUUCUGAAACAGCUUUGCCUGAGUUGUAUUCUAGAGUGUCCUCGCAUGUUGCGGACCAGUUAAAAGAUGUAAAGUCUUUGAGCUUCACUACGUAUAUUUGGAGCUCCGACGUGUGCCCCAUGACCCUUUUGAGUUUAACCGCGCAUUGGGUGAAUUCUGGUUAUGCUUUGCAGAGUGCUGUGCUACAUGCUAAAGAGUUGCGAGGGCCACACACAAGCAGCGUGAUUUCAGCUUCAAUCAAAGAAAUGAUGGAUGGAUGGAAAAUCCCUCUUUCCAAAGUACAUGCAAUUUUGAGGGACAAUGCCAGUGACGUGAAGAAGGCAAUUAAAGAUUUGGGGGUCCCUAGUUUGAGGUGUGUCGCGCAUUCAUUGCAGCUUGUAAUUAAUGAGGGGCUUCUGUCGCAACGGAGCGUAAGCGAUGCCCUGCAGGUGCGAGAAAGAUUGUGGGGCACUUCAAACAUUCCCCAUCAUCGUACUCUUCAUUGGAGGAUAUUCAGCGCGAACUUCACUUGCCUGUGAAACGUCUACAGCAAGAUGUCAAAACCCGAUGGAACAGUACGUUUGACAUGAUUCAGAGUAUGCUUGAACAGAAGCGUGCUUUAAGUGCAUUCGCUGCCGACCACGAGCUGCCCGCAACACUGACAGCAAACCAAUGGGGAUUGCUGGAGAAGACCGUGAUUGUACUGUCACCAUUCGAAGACCUUACCAGAGCCAUAAACUCAUCCCAAUCUUCCACGGCGGAUGUUAUUCCAGCAAUUGUGGUUUUGAAAUGUCUGCUAUCUCAGGAGAGAGACACCGACAGCGGGAUUAAAACAAUGAAAAGUACUCUACUACAAGCGGUCAAUGAAAGACUCUGUAACAUUGAGGAUGAGCCACUUUUCUCCGUUGCCACUUUGCUUGACCCACGGUGCAAAGACAGAUACUUUACCAGUGCAGAUGCUGUCAUUCAUGCAAAAAAUGCACUGACAAAAGAGGCUGAAAAGAUCGAAGAUACACUGAGGACAGCAACUACUGCAGCAGGUCCAGCAGAGGUAUCUCAUAUGGAAGCAAGUGGGUCAAGUGGACACACAAGCAACAGCACCUUCACAAUGAUGUUUGAUGAAGUUCUCCAGGACCAACAAGAAUCUGCAGGAGGGAUAGCUACCACUAAUGCCCUUAAUCAAAUACAAACAUAUCUGACAGAGCCAAUUACACCCCGAUCUGAUAGCCCAUUCUGUUACUGGGCAGUGAAUCAUGUUCGUUUCCCUGCCCUUGCUGCUACUGCAUCAGUGUUUCUCUCUGCCCCCUGUGCCAGUGUUGAGAGCGAAAGACUGUUUAGCACUGCAUCCAACAUUGUAGAUGAAAGACGGAACCGACUUCUAGUCGAAAGAGCAGAAAUGCUAAUAUUCCUAAAAAAAAACCUGUCAUUGCUGUUUAACCUUAAAACAGAUAAUGUCACUUGAAGUCUAUACUUAAACACAGUUGUUGUGUUGAUAUUUUUGUACUAUUUUUCAUGUGUACAUAUUUUUGUCUACAAACGUAUAUGUUCAUACGUACGUUUUUGAUUUAAGAUUCACAAAAUGUAGAUUGUCAUUUGGAUGACUCCAGAUAGCUUGAUUUAAUUUAAUUUAUUUCAAUUUCAA